AGUGUCUAUUUCCUCAUCAGUCAAAGACCACAGAACCAUCAGGCUUUGAGCAACUGUUUCACAGCAACCACAGAAACAGAAAGAAAUGGAGAGAGAGAGAGAGAGAGAGAGAGAGAGAGAGAUGUAUAGAGAUAGUAGGGAGUCAGACAAGGGGGUGGGUUUGGGAUUUGGGUUUAAGAUUUUUUCAGGGUUUUAAUUGAUAUUGUUUGAUUAUUUAUCACAUAAUUGAUCAGCUGAGAGAUGACGGUGUUUCAGCGCUGUCAGUGGGAGGGACUGUGAAGUUGAGUAACGUGAGCACAUACAGCAGAAAGAGGAAAUGACCAAACCCAAUAGAACUGGAGGCAGAGACAUUGAGAAAUUACACAGAUGUGCAUUUUUUCAUGUUUUCAUUUCUACAAAAGUCUCUUAGUAGUGGACUGGAGUUCGGAGUUCAGUUCAGAAUGAAAAUCCUCCUCAUCAUCAUCACCUUCCACCUGAUCUCAGGUCCAGUGCACUGCGCUGACGUGAUUGGUUAUCCUGGAGGUCACGUAUUAAUUGAUUUCAAACUCCCAUUCAAUAUCAUGACUACUGUGUAUUUUUGCAAAUUAAAAUCACAAGCAGAGUGUGAACCUUUGAUAACAGUUCAGGGCAGAGACUCAGCUCAUAAAGACAGAUUUAGUCUGUAUGACUCCGGUGAAUUUAUUACAGUGAUAUUCAGAAAUCUGAGUGUACAGGAUGCUGGAAUGUAUCAGGGUGGAGUGACGAGUGUGUUGAGUCACGACAUUAACCUGAAAGUGAACGGUGAUCCAUGCUGUAGCAGGACACAAUCAGUAACAGGUUAUCUGGGACAGACGGUGACGAUCAGUUGCUCCUAUCCAGUAGAGUUUGAAACAAACAUCAGG